rnacentral:rRNA from 1 species
GUUGAACGCUGGCGGCAGGCCUAACACAUGCAAGUCGAACGAGUGGCGGACGGGUGAGUGAUGUCUGGGAAACUGGCUGAUGGAGGGGGAUAACUACUGGAAAACGUAGCUAAUACCGCAUACCAUCAUAUGUGCCCAGAUGGGAUUAGCUUGUUGGUGGGGUAACGGCUCACCAAGGCGACGAUCCCUAGCUGGUCUGAGAGGAUGACCAGCCACACUGGAACGGAGACACGGUCCAGACUCCUACGGGAGGCAGCAGUGGGGAAUAUUGCACAAUGGGCGAAAGCCUGAUGCAGCCAUGCCGCGUGUAUGAAGAAGGUCUUCGGGUUGUAAAGUACUUUCAGCGGGGAGGCGUUACCCGCAGAAGAAGCACCGGCUAACUCCGUGCCAGCAGCCGCGGUAAUUC